GGGGAUUUAGGGGGUUUUCGG
rnacentral:rRNA from 1 species